GGCACGUUGCCCGAGCGGCCAAUGGGAGCGGACUGUAAAUCCGUCGGCUUAGCCUACGUAGGUUCGAAUCCUACACGUGCCACCA
rnacentral:tRNA from 1 species